GACGAACGCUGGCGGCGUGCUUAACACAUGCAAGUCGAACGGAAAUGCCCUGCUUUUGUGGGGUGCUCGAGUGUCGAAAGGGUGAGUAACACGUGAGUAACCUGCCCUUGACUUUGGGAUAACUUCAUGAAACUGGGGCUAAUACCGGAUAUGAGCUCCUGCUGCAUGGUGGGGGUUGGAAAGUUUCGGCGGUUGGGGAUGGACUCGCGGCUUAUCAGCUUGUUGGUGGGGUAGUGGCUUACCAAGGCUUUGACGGGUAGCCGGCCUGAGAGGGUGACCGGCCACAUUGGGACUGAGAGACGGCGCAGACUCGUACGGGAGGCAGCAGUGGGGAAUAUUGCAAAAUGGGCGGAAGCCUGAUGCAGAAACGCCGCGUGCGGGAUGACGGCCUUCGGGUUGUAAACCGCUUUCGCCUGUGACGAAGCGUGAGUGACGGUAAUGGGUAAAGAAGCACCGGCUAACUACGUG
rnacentral:rRNA from 1 species